CAUCUGAAAGAGCAUGCAAAGUCCAGAUUUCACCAGAAAACAAAAAGGGAGUCAGUAUGGAAGCACAUCCAAGUACUCCGGAUUUUCAGUCUGGUUUCUGACAGGAGAAAAGAAACUGCAGAAACAAAUGUGAAAAACCCAUGCAGACACUGAAAUCCCGUCCUUGUCAAGGUACUGUAAGACAGGACUGCUUGUGUGUCUGCUGGUUGAAAACCUUGUUACCCUGCUGGUAGGGGAGUGCAUAAGAAUACAAUUCUGCAGUGAUUUAUCUGGAGAUCCUGGAAAUGUUCAAAUACCAAGACCUACACUACUGACCAGUGAAUUUGCUGUUUGUAUUUGCACCCAAGAAAGAGAAGGUCCAAACAGUACUAUGGAAAACAAACUGCUCACAACUGUGGAUAACGGUAACAAUGACUCCUAACCCACUGGUCUUUUUUCCCUGACAAA